UACAGAGGGGGCAAGCGUUGUUCGGAAUUACUGGGCGUAAAGGGCGCGUAGGCGGCCUUCUAAGUCGAACGUGAAAGCCCCGGGCUCAACCUGGGAAUGGCAUUGGAAACUGGCGAGCUAGAGUGUGGCAGAGGGGGGUGGAAUUCCGCGUGUAGCAGUGAAAUGCGUAGAGAUGCGGAGGAACACCGAUGGCGAAGGCAGCCCCCUGGGCUGACACUGACGCUCAGGCACGAAAGCGUGGGGAGCAAACAGG
rnacentral:rRNA from 1 species